WUGAACCUGCGGAAGGAUCAUUG
rnacentral:rRNA from 1 species